GACGAACGCUGGCGGCGUGCCUAAUACAUGCAAGUAGAACGCUGAAGGAGGAGCUUGCUCUUCUGGAUGAGUUGCGAACGGGUGAGUAACGCGUAGGUAACCUGCCUGGUAGCGGGGGAUAACUAUUGGAAACGAUAGCUAAUACCGCAUAAUAGUAGAUGUUGCAUGACAUUUACUUGAAAGGUGCAAUUGCAUCACUACCAGAUGGACCUGCGUUGUAUUAGCUAGUUGGUGGGGUAACGGCUCACCAAGGCGACGAUACAUAGCCGACCUGAGAGGGUGAUCGGCCACACUGGGACUGAGACACGGCCCAGACUCCUACGGGAGGCAGCAGUAGGGAAUCUUCGGCAAUGGACGGAAGUCUGACCGAGCAACGCCGCGUGAGUGAAGAAGGUUUUCGGAUUGUAAAGCUCUGUUGUAAGAGAAGAACGAGUGUGAGAGUGGAAAGUUCACACUGUGAC
rnacentral:rRNA from 1 species